GAUGAACGCUGGCGGCGUGCCUAAUACAUGCAAGUCGAGCGAACAGACAAGGAGCUUGCUCCUUUGACGUUAGCGGCGGACGGGUGAGUGACACGUGGGUAACCUACCUAUAAGACUGGGAUAACUUCGGGAAACCGGAGCUAAUACCGGAUAAUAUUUCGAACCGCAUGGUUCGAUAGUGAAAGAUGGUUUUGCUAUCACUUAUAGAUGGACCCGCGCCGUAUUAGCUAGUUGGUAAGGUAACGGCUUACCAAGGCGACGAUACGUAGCCGACCUGAGAGGGUGAUCGGCCACACUGGAACUGAGACACGGUCCAGACUCCUACGGGAGGCAGCAGUAGGGAAUCUUCCGCAAUGGGCGGAAGCCUGACGGAGCAACGCCGCGUGAGUGAUGAAGGUCUUCGGAUCGUAAAACUCUGUUAUUAGGGAAGAACAUACGUGUAAGUAACUAUGCACGUCUUGACGGUACCUAAUCAGAAAGCCACGGCUAACUACGUGCCAGCAGCCGCGGUAAUACGUAGGUGGCAAGCGUUAUCCGGAAUUAUUGGGCGUAAAGCGCGCGUAGGCGGUUUUUUAAGUUUGAUGUGAAAGCCCACGGCUCAACCGUGGAGGGUCAUUGGAAACUGGAAAACUUGAGUGCAGAAGAGGAAAGUGGAAUUCCAUGUGUAGCGGUGAAAUGCGCAGAGAUAUGGAGGAACACCAGUGGCGAAGGCGACUUUCUGGUCUGUAACUGACGCUGAUGUGCGAAAGCGUGGGGAUCAAACAGGAUUAGAUACCCUGGUAGUCCACGCCGUAAACGAUGAGUGCUAAGUGUUAGGGGGUUUCCGCCCCUUAGUGCUGCAGCUAACGCAUUAAGCACUCCGCCUGGGGAGUACGACCGCAAGGUUGAAACUCAAAGGAAUUGACGGGGACCCGCACAAGCGGUGGAGCAUGUGGUUUAAUUCGAAGCAACGCGAAGAACCUUACCAAAUCUUGACAUCCUUUGACAACUCUAGAGAUAGAGCCUUCCCCUUCGGGGGACAAAGUGACAGGUGGUGCAUGGUUGUCGUCAGCUCGUGUCGUGAGAUGUUGGGUUAAGUCCCGCAACGAGCGCAACCCUUAAGUUUAGUUGCCAUCAUUAAGUUGGGCACUCUAAGUUGACUGCCGGUGACAAACCGGAGGAAGGUGGGGAUGACGUCAAAUCAUCAUGCCCCUUAUGAUUUGGGCUACACACGUGCUACAAUGGACAAUACAAAGGGCAGCGAAAUCGCGAGGUCAAGCAAAUCCCAUAAAGUUGUUCUCAGUUCGGAUUGUAGUCUGCAACUCGACUACAUGAAGCUGGAAUCGCUAGUAAUCGUAGAUCAGCAUGCUACGGUGAAUACGUUCCCGGGUCU
rnacentral:rRNA from 1 species